rnacentral:lncRNA from 1 species
GAUAUAGAUAUUUGCUGAACAUGGAGACAAAAGUUCAAAUAGUACUUAAAGUUUUGAGAAUAUUUCUGCGCUUUAUCCAGCCCCUCCAUCAUAAUCCUACUCUCCAGAAGCAACCACUUUUAACUAUUUAAGUUUUUACCUGGUAGUGUAUAACCUUUUAUUAUUAUUCAACAAUUAAAAAAACCAUUAUAGUUAUAUAAGUACAAAACUUACAGAGACAAAUUGUUCAACAAAGUGUGUUACAAACAACAGAAUCCCCCUUCUCAUUUUGCUCUCCUCCGAGGCAACAGCUUUCAGUUCUUUUGGCUGAUUCUUCUGGUAGUUACCCCCAUAUUACUGAUAUACGUAUAUUUGCUUCUCGAUCUUUCAGCACCUAUUGUCCUCCGUCUUCAGAAGAUGUGGGUCCAGCCCUCUUUCAUCUCACCUCUACUUUAUCCAACCACACCGCCUCGCACCCUCUGUCCUGCCAAUGGAGCUGUCACCACUUUCUCUCCUACCAGCCUGGGACUCAGGGGACCCAGGAAAAGCCUUCUCCAUGAAGCUGUUAGGCCCGGAGGUGGGGUCCUGAGAUAAUAAAAUAGGCAACUUAAAGCCUGGAGCCUGGAGCUGAGCCCAUCUAAGUUGCAGCGGAACCACAGACUCACGAGUGACUGUGGGCCGCAAUCCAGUCUGGGUGCAGAGGGCACUUCCUACCCACAGGGACGGAAGGCAGAUGUCUCAUCACUUGCUGGCAGAGUUUCAAGAGCAAGCCCUCCCUGCCCUCAAGGAAAGGGGAACCAGUUUUUUGGUUGCUAAAUAUUCGAGCUCUGGGUUUUAAUGAGCCAAAGUUAAUUAUGAAAGAAAAGAAAAUAGGGCUUUUGUAUGGAAGAAACAAGAGUGUAGGUCAGAACCCAAAGGAAGACUGUGGGAAUAGGAGCAAGCCAGCUGUCCCGUGUGGGGCCUGGAGGCAGCUGACUGCUGACAAAGGGAAGCUUCCAGCAACCACCUGGAAUGUCCAUCUCCAGGAUCCUUCUUGCCUUGUUUCUACUCCGGCUUCCAGGCUUCUAGCCCUUGUCUCUGCCUGCCAUUUUGGCCUCAGCUCCUGCCCCUGGGACUUGUGUCCACACUGAAAAGCUUCAUCUUGAAAUUGGUCACUCCUCGAGGUCAUCUUUAGUCUCAGAGGUGAGAUUGGUUGAGCUGCUAAUGUGGCGCACAGGGCUCCGGAGGCUUGUGUUGCGCUCUGGCCAGUGCAGACAACAUCCAGUUCUGCUGCUGCCAGACCAUUAGUACUGACGAUUCUGGCCUAAACUGGCACCACUCUCCCUUUUGUCCCUUUCCUCUGGUGCAUGGUGUAGCUUUCCCUUCCCUACCCUUCCUUCAUUGAA